GAAGGUAGGUAGGUUAGGUAGGGGCGCCGGUGAGAAGAACAAAAGUCGCGGGUUGGUUGGUGGUUCGGUUAGGUUAGGUAGGGGUUGGUUGGAGUGGUCGGAGACGAGCUAGGGAGAGGGAGGACUGCGGUACCUGUACGGCGGCAGCGGACAUCGAAGGAGCGGGGGUAUGGGCACGUCGUUGCUCGUCGCGGACUCGAGCGGAGUAGAGGCGCGGCGACUGCUCGAAGCAAGUUCAUCCUCGAGGACGUUCUGCGGUCCUUGCUCUGGGGUACGAGAAGAAGCAAGGUCUAGGAGGGGCACGAGGAGGAGGAGCGGAGCAGCAGGCCGCGGCGGCGGUCCCUGGCUUGGUCCGGUCUGGUGGACGAGGAAGAAGUACAGAAGGAGGAGAAGAGCAGAGAGGGAAGAGAUUGGAGAAGGGAGGAGACGAAGAAUGGCGUCCUCUAUCGGCGUCGGCAGCUUGCGGUACCUAGCCGCGGUUCUCGAGGAUACCAGGUGCUCUUGGAGCGUAGCCCUCGGUGGAGGACGGCAGCAAGUGGAGCAGGACGCGGGCUAGAGGGGACUGGACUCCGACGGCGGGAGCUGGCGCGGUUCAGGGAGGAGCGCGUGGAGGACGUGAGAAGGGCGUGCUUGGGCUGCUCCGGGAGGAGUGUGGACGUGCGCGUACUCGCGGCCUCCUAGAGGUGCGGCACCGACUGCCGGAAGAGAGUUCGGGCCGCGGCGGUUCUGACUAGGGGAGUCGCUCGAGACAGUUCAGGUGGCGGGCGACGCAGAAGGGCCACUUAGAGACAGCUGGGGAUGGAGCAGAUUCUCACUAGUCUCGGCGCGGUCGAGGAGACGUAGCGCGGUUCCGGCGGGUGAGCAAAAGGGGACGAAGCUCGCUGUCCUCCCUCGACACGGGCGCAACUGACGAGUAGCACACCUAGGUGGCGUCGGCGAGCGGGGCAACUGACGCAGACGAGCUGGCGCGGGGGACCCGACGGAGGUGACAGAUCGCGGUUCCGGGUCGCGCGGAGGGAACAAGUGGUAGCCGGACCCGGAACCCGGCUUCACUCGUCAAGGGGAGGCCAGGGAGAUAGGACACGUACAACCCGAUCGGAGACAAAGCCGGGUCACAUCAAAAAAAUCUAGACACUAAAACAGAUAAAAGGUCCCAUAACGUCAAAAUGUCUUUUGGGGAACUUGAAGUACGUAAAUUAUUGAAGAGUUGGUACGUAGUAAACGUUUAUUGAAUAUAUACUUUGAACGAAUCUAAAAUUAGAUCAAAUUAUUAUACAGUAAAAGUGGGUACAAAUUUUACAAAUUUUACUACAAACGAAAUUAAACGAAUUUACGGUACGAUUUUACUAAAUUAAGUAUUGAUUUAUUGGCAUCGAGGUUUGGAUUGUUUAAAAUAUACAUUUACCCCAUCUUUUUACGGAUCAAAUUGUACCACGUGAACAAAAAGUACAAAUUAUUGAGAUUUUAAUACAAAUCCCGUCUUAUCAUGGUUUGGAUUUUAUACGUGCACUCCUCAAAGGCCUAAACAACAAGCAACGAAGGCCGGAGUAAAUUGGAACUGAUCUACACAUCAGAAGAAAACGGAGUGGAGAACGGUACAAAUUGUUGUGAAUUUAAACAACUCAUGGAUUGGCUCUCACUUGAUUUAUUAACUACACCACAAGGCAGUUAUACGUUGAGCAACGUAUAACUCGAGGUGAAUUAAACAUCCUAACGAACACGUGAAACGGUACGGUACGAAGUAAUUUGGCCUGUACGUAGUAUGAACCAACACGUAUUACAGUACGAAUACAGCACCAACAAAUGAUACAACACACGAAGAAAGGCCACAACGAAGAAGCCCAACCAAGGCAAUUGUAGCGCAACACUCCUUGGCAAGCAGAUGCAGGCAAACAGAAGAAGUACCUGAGCAAGAAGAAGGAACGCCCUAAAGUCAAACGUCCACGGCUACUUAGGCACGUCCACUGCGUUGGUUCGAGUCCUCCUCGAGCUACUUCUAGAACAGGAAACACAACAAAGCAAGAUCAACUAGUCAUCACCUCGGGUCAACCCCAGCUAGCCCCUAGACACAUCGUAAACCCCAUCAGAAGAAAAUAAAACCGAGGCAUCAGCCCGGGACUAACAUAGACCUACUACAUUACGAAAUAAGAACAUAAACACACUUCACCGCUAACAUUCGGUUGAUACAUAGAAAAGGGAAUACAUAAUUUACCCAACACACUUC
rnacentral:rRNA from 1 species